AAUAGAUACCCAGGUAGUCCUAGCCGUAAACGAUGAGCACUGGGUUGAAGGGUCCUCCAGUAGCCGUUUCAGCCGUAGCGAAAGUGUUAAGUGCUCCGCCUGGGGAGUAUGGUCGCAAGGCUGAAACUCAAAGAAAUUGACGGGGGCUCACACAAGCGGUGGAGGAUGUGGCUUAAUUCGAGGCUACGCGAAGAACCUUAUCCUAGUCUUGACAUGCACGGAUUAACCCCUGGAAACAGGGGCCACGCCUUCGGGUGGAACGUGCACAGGUGCUGCAUGGCUGUCGUCAGCUCGUGCUGUGAAGUGUCGGGUUAAGUCCCUUAACGAGCGAAACCCUUGUCGCUAGUUGCCAGCGAGUCAUGUCGGGGACUCUAGCGAGACCGCCGGUGUUAAACCGGAGGAAGGUGGGGAUGACGUCAAGUCCUCAUGGCCUUUAUGACUAGGGCUGCACACGUCCUACAAUGGCAUGCACAAAGGGACGCAAAGUCGCGAGACCAAGCAAAUCCCAAAAAACAUGCCCCAGUUCGGAUUGC
rnacentral:rRNA from 1 species